UACGUAGGGAGCGAGCGUUGUCCGGAUUCAUUGGGCGUAAGGAGCUCGUAGGCGGCUUGGUAAGUCGGAUGUGAAACCUCCAGGCUCAACCUGGAGUCGCCAUCCGAUACUGCCAUGGCUAGAGUCCGGUAGGGGCCCACGGAAUUCCUGGUGUAGCGGUGAAAUGCGUAGAUAUCUGGAGGAACACCGGUGGCGAAGGCGGCAUCCUGGACCGACACUGACGCUGAGGAGCGAAAGCCAGGGGAGCAAACGGG
rnacentral:rRNA from 1 species